rnacentral:rRNA from 1 species
UACGUAGGGGGCAAGCGUUGUCCGGAAUCAUUGGGCGUAAAGCGCGCGUAGGCGGCCUCAUAAGUCCGCUGUAAAAGUCAAAGGCUCAACCUUUGAAUGCCGGUGGAUACUGUGAGGCUAGAGUCCGGAAGAGGCGAGUGGAACUCCUGGUGUAGCGGUGAAAUGCGCAGAUAUCAGGAGGAACACCAAUGGCGAAGGCAGCACUCUGGGACGUGACUGACGCUGAGACGCGAAAGCGUGGGGAGCAAACAGG